UACGUAGGGGGCAAGCGUUGUCCGGAAUCAUUGGGCGUAAAGCGCGUGUAGGCGGCUCGGUAAGUCUGCUCUGAAAGCCUGGGGCUCAACCCUGGGAGGCGGGUGGAUACUGCUGAGCUCGAGUCCGGAAGAGGCGAGUGGAAUUCCUGGUGUAGCGGUGAAAUGCGCAGAUAUCUGGAGGAACACCGGUGGCGAAGGCGGCAUCCUGGACCGGUAUUGACGCUGAGGCGCGAAAGCCAGGGGAGCAAACGGG
rnacentral:rRNA from 1 species